rnacentral:rRNA from 1 species
GCUCCAAUAGCGUAUAUUAAAGUUGUUGCAGUUAAAAAGCUCGUAGUUGAAUUUCUGUCUAGGAGAUCCGUUCGCUCUCUGAGUAGAAUUGUGGAUACUUCUUGACAUAUUUCCAAAGAGCGUGUCUGCACUUAAUUGUGUGGUUCGUGAUUUGGAACCUUUACUUUGAGAAAAUUAGAGUGUUUCAAGCAAGCUUGCGU